rnacentral:rRNA from 1 species
ACGAGUGGCGGACGGGUGAGUAACACGUGGGUAACCUGCCCUUAAGUGGGGGAUAACAUUUGGAAACAGAUGCUAAUACCGCAUAAAUCCAAGAACCGCAUGGUUCUUGGCUGAAAGAUGGCGUAAGCUAUCGCUUUUGGAUGGACCCGCGGCGUAUUAGCUAGUUGGUGAGGUAACGGCUCACCAAGGCAAUGAUACGUAGCCGAACUGAGAGGUUGAUCGGCCACAUUGGGACUGAGACACGGCCCAAACUCCUACGGGAGGCAGCAGUAGGGAAUCUUCCACAAUGGACGCAAGUCUGAUGGAGCAACGCCGCGUGAGUGAAGAAGGCUUUCGGGUCGUAAAACUCUGUUGUUGGAGAAGAAUGGUCGGCAGAGUAACUGUUGUCGGCGUGACGGUAUCCAACCAGAAAGCCACGGCUAACUACGUGCCAGCAGCCGCGGUAAUACGUAGGUGGCAAGCGUUAUCCGGAUUUAUUGGGCGUAAAGCGAGCGCAGGCGGUUUUUUAAGUCUGAUGUGAAAGCCCUCGGCUUAACCGAGGAAGUGCAUCGGAAACUGGGAAACUUGAGUGCAGAAGAGGACAGUGGAACUCCAUGUGUAGCGGUGAAAUGCGUAGAUAUAUGGAAGAACACCAGUGGCGAAGGCGGCUGUCUGGUCUGUAACUGACGCUGAGGCUCGAAAGCAUGGGUAGCGAACAGGAUUAGAUACCCUGGUAGUCCAUGCCGUAAACGAUGAAUGCUAGGUGUUGGAGGGUUUCCGCCCUUCAGUGCCGCAGCUAACGCAUUAAGCAUUCCGCCUGGGGAGUACGACCGCAAGGUUGAAACUCAAAGGAAUUGACGGGGGCCCGCACAAGCGGUGGAGCAUGUGGUUUAAUUCGAAGCAACGCGAAGAACCUUACCAGGUCUUGACAUCUUUUGAUCACCUGAGAGAUCAGGUUUCCCCUUCGGGGGCAAAAUGACAGGUGGUGCAUGGUUGUCGUCAGCUCGUGUCGUGAGAUGUUGGGUUAAGUCCCGCAACGAGCGCAACCCUUAUGACUAGUUGCCAGCAUUUAGUUGGGCACUCUAGUAAGACUGCCGGUGACAAACCGGAGGAAGGUGGGGAUGACGUCAAAUCAUCAUGCCCCUUAUGACCUGGGCUACACACGUGCUACAAUGGAUGGUACAACGAGUUGCGAGACCGCGAGGUCAAGCUAAUCUCUUAAAGCCAUUCUCAGUUCGGACUGUAGGCUGCAACUCGCCUACACGAAGUCGGAAUCGCUAGUAAUCGCGGAUCAGCACGCCGCGGUGAAUACGUUCCCGGGCCUUGUACACACCGCCCGUCACACCAUGAGAGUUUGUAACACCCGAAGCCGGUGGCGUAACCCUUUUAGGGAGCGAGCCGUUUAAG